rnacentral:ncRNA from 1 species
GUAACUGCAGUGAUGGAGAAGAGUACUUAAUCCGUAUUAUUAAUAGCGAGUCCAGGUAGGUGUAAGCUGGAUAAUAAACGUUAAGGAACGGCACUCCGGAGCAGGAUUCGAUAAAGUGGCUCUGUAAAAGAGCAAAUAGGGUGGAACCGCGGAUGAUUCGUCCGUCCCUAUG